AUGGAGAUAACAUUCAACGUGGAGUUUGAGGACCUCAGCAAACAUAUCCUUGAGAGAAAGAGCACCGAGACGAAGAUUGUCUGGGAGAUGCAUCAAGAAAAAAUGAAGGAGAAGCGUAAAGCUAGGAAGAGGUCGUCAAAGGAUGAUGAUGAGUAUAGUGAGGAAGAUAGUGCUCAUGGAAAUGAUGAUUUCUUUGAAGAUGAAAAGGAUGAUCAAGAAGAUACAACCAUUGGUGUAAAAGGGUUACAACAUAAAGUGCAAGAGAGUGCCACCUUCAUGCGAAAACAAGCCAGGAAGAAGGGUGCACAUGCAGAUGCAGGCACAUUGGACAGUGAACCGCCUAUGGAGGAAUUACCUCUGGUGAAUCCAGAUGAUACAUCUUCUAAGAAGACGAAUCGAAAACACGAUGGGGAGAAACUACAGAUGCUAUCUGCUGUCAAUUCUCUCAAAAGGAACCUUACCGCGAUCAAGAAAGCAAGCAUGAGCGACUGA
rnacentral:rRNA from 1 species